UACGUAGGGUGCGAGCGUUGUCCGGAAUUACUGGGCGUAAAGAGCUCGUAGGUGGUUUGUCGCGUUGUUCGUGAAAACCGGGGGCUUAACCCUCGGCGUGCGGGCGAUACGGGCAGACUUGAGUACUGCAGGGGAGACUGGAAUUCCUGGUGUAGCGGUGGAAUGCGCAGAUAUCAGGAGGAACACCGAUGGCGAAGGCAGGUCUCUGGGCUGUAACUGACGCUGAGGAGCGAAAGCAUGGGGAGCGAACAGG
rnacentral:rRNA from 1 species